rnacentral:lncRNA from 1 species
AGGAGUUGCAAGGCCUCUAGGAGAAUAAGAACAUCUUUGCAUCCUACCCUAGAGAAACUUGACACCAGCACUUGUGGCCACUGAGGAACACAGGUCCUGAGCCAGUCCUGAGCCGAAAAGUUACUGGAGGAGAAAGCUCUAUACCUGACACAGUGACCUGCAAUGGGAAGAAGACAUCAGGGCAACAUAGAAGACACAGGCAGAUCUGAGAAGGGUGAUGGGAAGAAGCUGUUAGCUGUUGAGGCUGGAGGACUCACUCCUGUUCCAGCCUUCUCCUCCUUCUUGGGAGACACCCACCGUGCUGAGCAAGAGUUUACAGCUGUCCUUCUUCUCGCCUUGGCCUCUAAAGGUGCAAGUCUGCUUUUCCUGAUUGAGUUCACUACCUGCACAGCGAAGACAGCCGUAUGGGGCUGGGAGGCUCAUGAGUUCCUCCCCGUUCUAGAGGCACAGCUCACCAGCAAACCCACUCCACUUUUCCUGGGGACAGCCUUAGCCCUUACCCCAGAGCAUGUUUUUUGCUGUGGUUUCGGUCACGCUGCUGGUGCUGUGGCGACUCAUGUCGAUUUACAGGGCGGCUUGGUGGAGGUGUUGUGGGGAAAGAUUAUGUCUGUGGUGAGGCAAGGUCCUGGGUCCUUGCUUGGAGCUCAGCUGUUAUCACUGUGUUCUGAGUAAUGCAAAGGCUAGCCAUAAGGAAAGCUACCUUGAGUCCUGGGAAUGUUGGCUAUAGCCAACAGCCAUUAAAAACUAGAAGCCAAGUUUCCCGCUUCCCCCCUCCCUGCAACUGAUCAGAGCAUCCCAGACCCGAGACAGACACACUCAACACCACAGUGCAAGGAAUGGUGGUUUGUCUAGCCCAAGUUUGGAAGCUAGCUGAGAGAUUACAUGACUGCCCCUGUGGCCCUCCCAGAACCCCAGUGUGGAGAGAGAGAGGGGACCAGGAUGUGUGCCCAGUUGGAUCCGAGUCCUAUGUACCCCCUGCUCAAGCUUACUGCGCUGCCAGUCAUGGGUUCCACCUCUACUGCAGGUCCUCAAUAUGGCUUCAGGGCUCCAUCUAAGGGUCAGCUUCCCACAGCAGGCUGUUAAGAAGCCUGGGAAAGAGGAGGGGGUGGGGAGGUGUGCAAUCCCCUCCUACUCUAGAAGCACCUGGCCCUCUGUUAAAACUUGAUUUCUGAGCAUCACCUCUGCUGUUUCCCAUUGAACAGGUCAAGGCAGGGCCCAGAGAAUUUGCAUUUCCA